UGUUGGAUCGGCCAAGGAAAUGCAACAUCAAUCAACGCGGGGGCGACAAUCAGGAGCAUCAGCACAGCAAUCACGCAAUAGCAAAUGCGCUUCGACGACUUCGAUCGGCACCCAGCUGCUCAAAUUUUCGUGCGGCAUUCAAUUUGGUAUUCUAUCGCUGCGCCGCCAACUCAUUCGAAGCCAGCGUUGCCGACUUCAGUUGGAUCGCCUCUCUCGUGUUUGUCAGUUCUGCAAAGUGUUGAAAUUCUUGUUGUGUGUGUGCGCGCGUGUGUGUGUUUAAUUACGAGUGUUUAAGGUUUCAGCUUCUAGGAUAUUGCAUUAUGAAUGUUCAUGAAUUGUAAGUGGGUUCACGGACAUGUAGAAUCUGGAAUUGGGCUCCCACUUGGUUGUGUACGUGGCUCUUGAAUUAGUGGACAGGGAGCUGUGUUUUGUGGGUUGUGCCCUGAUUUCAUUUUCAUGGUGUUGGUUGUAGCAUGUUGUGGCCAAUUACCUGCUAGCGGUGGUCUUUUGUAUAUAUAUAGCUUUAGGGUCACAUUUGAGAUGAAGUUUUGGUGCGUAAGUUCACAUUGGGCACAUCUAUGUAGCAUCACAAAAAUCACCACAUAUUACACUGAUUUGCGACAUUGCCACUAUGGGUUGUAUUUUUCACAGCUACUAUCCGACACCUGUGGGAAUGUGCUGUUCCAUAUCCGACCUCUGUCUGUUUGUUACGGUGAACACUCUGCGGCUGACUCACAACAUACGUUCUCCUUGACUCAGUUCUUGUCAGUCGAUCCUAAUUCAGUUCCAACUUUAUGUGUCUCGUCACUCCUGUUCUUUGUAACAGUUCUUCGUGGAUGCAACGAGCAUUGGUAGCUGGAGCUGUCAGGUAUGUGCAUAGCGGUGUAGUUUGGUGUAGGCGUAUGUGAUGAGGUAACUAACACAUCCUGCAAAAAGCUAACGUUUCGAUUUUCAUGUAAAGUAGUUGAAUCUGUGUGUAUUUCAGGGUAAAAGAGCGAUAGAAACUGCAAUCUCCGACAACUGAACGAAAUCAUCUUGUCACUCCAGGUGGAUGAUCUUAACGCAGCAACUCGGUGCUUGAACGCCUUUGGACAUGUUCCAGGAGCACUGGGCAGCACCUUGGAAUAUGGUGCAUUCCGACUACAAGCUUGCUGCAGUUUUUUUUGUCUUGCACAUCAGACCUGCUUCAUCAUCUUGGUGGAUAACAAAACAUGUUCCCAGGAUUUCGCCAGGAGCACUGGUGGCCGUGACUGACAGAACGGUUGUCAUGCCUGCAAAAACGAAGUAUCUCUCAACAAAAAGCACUUGAAGAAACGAUGGUUGGGAUUGUUUUCUGAUUCUGCUCAGGAAGAGGGACACAUCAAGACGUGGUCAAGGUCAGGGGCAAUUCUGGGAUUCGUUACGUGAGUGUGAAACAUGUGUUGAGGUACUUCAAAAACCAUGGAAUAAGAGAAGAAAGGAUUGAAAUCUGCUAGGAAGAAGGAAAGAAAAGUCUAGGAUCUAUCCAUAGACAAGAGAAGAACAUGGAGAUUGGGACCCCUCUUGAGACAAAGGAGAUGGAAGAGGUUAGGGACCUUCGUGGGGAGAAGGAAUAAGAGAUUUGGAUUAGCCAAUGAGAAGCCUUGAAUGUGUGUAGACAUAAUAGGUAUGUGCAUAGCAAUUUAAAGUGUGUUUCUAGUUUGAACCUUUGUGAAAUUAUAUGAAUGAUAAAAACAUAAUUCA